CCUAGCUCUGAUUCAAACGAAUCCUAGGUUUUUCGCCCCAGAUCUGACAACGUCCUACGGAUAACCAUUCUUUAGAAGGGCUUCUGCUUCGAAAAUCUAUUUAAAUAGCUGUCAUCGCUUUCAUUAAGUCACUUUCGCUGAGCUGUUCCUUGGGAUGUGAGCUCUCAUACGAUUACAUCAUGCUGCACAGGAAUUCAGACCACGUGGUAGCGAAUAUGGGAAUGUUGAAGUUGGAAAAAAGGAUACCUCAUCUAACCUGGAAAAGCUAAACUACCUCUACUCUUGCAGCAACAUUCUGAGUAAAGGUUGUUGCUGUAUUCACAAUUGUUGGGAGAAAAAGGGAUAAGAGCUGGCUUUACCUUCCAAUUGUUGUGAGCUGGGGCUUUUUACUCAGGUUGUAUUAGGACCCCAUUGAUCUCCAAACGCAAGCUCUUGGAGUCCUCUUCACAUUUUGCUAUGCUUGAUUUUAAUGGAUAAGGGCUGGCUUUACCUUCCAAUUGUUGUGAGCUGGGGCUUUUUACUCAGGUUGUAUUAGGACCCCAUUGAUCUCCAAACGCAAGCUCUUGGAGUCCUCUUCACAUUUUGCUAUGCUUGAUUUUAUGGGUGCAAAACAUGUUGCUCGUUGGUCACAUGCCCCACAUAACACUCAGUGGGAACGUCUCGGUAUUGCGGAAAAUGUCAUCUCUGGUUAUGAAAGGUGUAUUGAUACCGUCGCACCUGUACUGUGUGACAAGUGCACGUUCCGAUUGUAGUCGUUGGAAGAAAUUGGCUGUAUCAGACUACGAAGUAAAGACUACGAACGGCUAUAAACCCCUUGAAGCUAUGCUCGUCCUAUGCCGUAUGGUGGCGCGUCGAACGAACUUUCUGAAAGCCAUUAUAUUUUCUCGUUUGCUUACUGAUUUGGGUCUUCACACACCGUAAACUUGUAAGUAAACCAUUAACCUUUCAAUGUUGUAUUUUUUUGUAGAUAUAGCUUAGAUAUUCCCCUUGUUGUGUGAAUUUUUUUUAAUUUCUAUCUGAUCUCUAGUCAUGAUCUAUAAAUUCCUUUAUUCCACCCCCUUUUCUUUCUUUCUUUUGAAAAAGGGGGUUGGGGAAAAAGGGGGUGGUUCGACGCGCCACCAUACGGCAUAGGACGAGCAUAGCUUUGAUCAUUCCUCUCAGCCCUAUCCCCGAUCGUAGUCUUUACUUCGUAGUCUGUGUCAUUACUAGUUUUCAUUUUUUUUUCUCAACUGUAGUGCCAGUACCUUCUGGUAGUAAGCUGGGUAAUAAAUAACUCUUAAAAUAUUAAUACUAAAUCUAAGUCAAAGCUAACCUGAUUUUCGACAUUCAUGUUUAAUUUUGAAUAAAAAUCAUAUUUUUUUAUAUGAAUAUCCAUGUAUUUGAAAUAAAGAAAAGGUCGAGCUUU